AUGGACUCUAAGAAGGUGCUUACUGAUGCUAGUCUAACCGAUGACCUAGUGGUGAAAAUCCUUUCUCGGGUGCCUUUCAAGUCCUUUUGCCGCUUCAAAUGUGUUUGCAAGGCCUGGCUUGCCUUCUCCUCGGACCCACACUACCGCCAUAAACUGCCAAAAAUUCCCACCGGUCUUUUUCAUGGAUGCAAAGGUGGGUCUGUUGCCCAGCUUGUUAGUCUGUCACGAAAUGAUGAGGAAAUUGAUGGAGGUCUUACGUUCUUGCCGCACCGUGAACAUUUAAAAUUUGUGGAUUGCUGCAAUGGCCUAGUUCUUUGUAAGUAUAAGAGCAACUGUAUUCCUCCAAAUAUUUGCCGCUUCAUCGUGUGCAACCCUGCAACACGAGAGUGGAGGACGCUUCCUGAUACUCACCCUGACCCUUACACAAUGGAUUACACAUAUAAAGCUUUUUUGGCCUUCGAUCCAUCAUGGUCAGCACAGUUCUAUGUCUUCAACUUUCAGGAGAAGUUUGACGAAAUGCCAAUUGGCAUCAACAAACUUGAGGUGUUCUCGUCUGACCUAUCCACUUGGAUUGUGGAUGCUGCAUGGAGUUCGCGUAUACAGAUUUUUGAACCACACCACUUUAUAGGAGGAGUACUAUGUGUGCACACAGCAGGGGGUGACAUUUUAGUGUUGGAGGCAAUGGGUUCUGGCAUACCGCCCCGUCAUUUUAUCAUCGAGUUGCCGGAUGUCCAUUGGAGUCUCAUGUGUGGUUGCUUUGGUCAAUCAUCAGGGUUAUUGCAGUGUGCAUUUCCAGGGGAGAGCAGUGAUACAGCUGAAGUUUUCAGUCUUGAUGCUCACCAUUCUUAUGAGUGGUCUUUGAAGCGUCGUGUUAGUCUGAGAGAUGCACUUGGAAGGGAUGUCUUCUUUCACAAUGAUGAAUGGCCGCGUCGGCUUGGUUAUCGGAUUGCCGCUCUUGAUUUGGAAAGAGGGGUCAUCAUCCUUGUUGACAAGGAACAAAUGAAGCUUUUGUCAUACAACAUCAACACUGGGAAACUUAGAAAGAUCCAGGAUGAUUGCCGUACUACUACUGACUACCGUUAUUAUGUGGCAUGCUACUCAAAACUUCCAGGCUGA
rnacentral:rRNA from 1 species